CGAGCCGUAAUGGUGUGUGAGGAGCGGUGAGGCUUAUCUUUUGAUUUUAACAGCGCAUACAGCGACCAUGUGUGCAGCUGGCCCCCUCGUUAUAUUUGGGAUUGGAUGAAACCGCCUAGGCUACCAGUACGAGUUCUCUUCGACGACGCCAUUGCGAGUAAACAGCUCAAUUCAACGUCUGCUUUCUUCGAUAAACAAAAGACUCGAGUUUAACCAAAUUGGCUUGGAGCAAAGUAAUUAGGAAGAUCAGCAGUCAGAAAAGUGACGUCAGCGACUUGGGUGGUCGUUUUCAACGGAUACGUGAGUUACUCGAGGAACAAAUUGCAAGUAUUAAACUGUAGAAGAGCUUUUACAAUCUCGGAGUACCUUCUGAUAUGAAAUCGGCCAACUGGAAAGCCAGAUGCUUAAAAAUAUUGGAAAAUAAAAUAUUCUUCAGCUGGUCAUGACCUCCCGCACCUGUAAUGGAAAUUGGACGACGAUAAGGAGGAAAUUAACCGGAGCUCGAACCUGCUGCAAUUUAAUUAAGAAGAGGGAAACUGUUUUGCAUUUCAAUGGACGAGCGUUCGGCGUAUUGUCUGCUGAAUAUCAGAGCGCAAAAGGAUAACUCGAGUUGUGUGGCUACGUGGAUAGGAAAUUUAAAGGAAAUGGACGCAGAAUUAUAAUAACGUAGAGAAAUGGAGAAGAGAAACUCUUUAUUUACAUAAAAUGGGAGAAUGGGAGGACAAUUUCGGGGCGGUGGGAAGAGGCUACGAGGGUUUAUCUUCUCGUGAUAAUUGCAUUUUCAUCAUUUAGGAAAUGGUCGCAUGACUAAUGUUAAUACAAGGGAUAUUUACCCGAACUAUUACUUAAAUAAUUAACUGUAAUUAGCAAUAAUGUUGAAAGAUAGGUACCCAAAUUCUACUCAAAAUGUAAAGUUGUGACGAUAUUAUAAAAAUUAUUUUAGAAAUUUUUGUAUAAAACAAAAUUUUACAAUGUAGUGUAUGCCUACACAAAAAAACAAGCAGCAAGGAGAUGAUAAGUACAAAUUAAUAUUAAGAUUAACUUAAUUUAAAUAAAUAAACCUUGUAGUUAGUAUCUAGAAAAAGAUUUUAGUAGCAUACUUCAUUUUUGUUAUUUUUUUAUUCAUUGACUGAGUUAUGUGUAGAAAAGGUGGGUAUAUUAAACUAAGCAUAGGUUGAAUUGAAUUCUUUUUCUUACAAAAAACUUUUAUUUACAAAAAUAAUUAUAAUUAUUGGAAUUAAAAUUAUGAAUUUAAAAUUAUGUAAAUAAAAGUUUUUAGGUAUUUACUUGUUUUUCUAUUAGGUAUUAGGUAUUGAUUUCAAUGCCAAUUUUUAUUAAAUUAUUAAUUACAGUGUUUUUCUUUUGGUUUUCCUCUUUUGUCAAAUGUAUUUCACUAUUACUCAAAACUAUUUCAUUUGAUAUAUUAAUUUCAAAACGAUGUAGGGGGGAAAUAGUUUUGAGAAAUAGUGAAAUACAUUUGAUAAAAGAGGAAAACCAAAAGAAAAACACUGUAAUUAAAUUAGUUACUAACAUACAAAAUAUCUAAUUUGUACAAGUACCUGAAGCGUUGCUAUCCGCAAAAACGUUUUAGGUAGGUUUUACAACAUGUUUUUGUUAAAGCUCUCAAACCACAUUCACACUUAUUACCUAUUAAGUAUUUAUGAUUAGGUAAGGUUAUCAAAACAAAAAUUUUUCAAAAACAGUGAGCUUCAAAUUUUGAAUCACCAUAAAAAAGCCUUUUUAGAGAACUUAAAUGUAUCCGUAAAAUUUCUAUUUUUAUAAGUGUAUACCAAAAACUAUUUUUGGAUUUAGAUAUUUACUUAUAUCUACAACGUUUUAUUGUACAUAUUUAGUUUAGAAAUUAAAUUUCUCUCCAAAUCGUAUACCUUAUAUGCAAACAUUUAUUUAGGUAGGUAAAUAGGUAAAUUAUUUAAUUUUCAUAAAAAAAAUUGUAGUUAAUAAAAUUAUA